AGGACGAACGCUGGCGGCGUGCUUAACACAUGCAAGUCGAGCGGUGAUCCUCCUUCGGGAGGUGAGCAGCGGCGAACGGGUGAGUAACACGUGGGCAACCUGCCCCUCACACUGGGAUAACCUCGGGAAACCGGGGCUAAUACCGGAUAUGACCUCGAGCGGCAUCUCUUGAGGUGGAAAGCUCCGACGGUGAGGGAUGGGCCCGCGGCCUAUCAGCUUGUUGGUGGGGUAAUGGCCUACCAAGGCGACGACGGGUAGCCGGCCUGAGAGGGCGACCGGGCCACGACUGGGACUGAGACACGGCCCAGACUCCUACGGGAGGCAGCAGUGGGGAAUAUUGCGCAAUGGGCGAAAGCCUGACGCAGCGACGCCGCGUGAGGGAUGAAGGCCUUCGGGUUGUAAACCUCUUUCAGCAGGGACGAAGCGAAAGUGACGGUACCUGCAGAAGAGCACCGGCUAACUACGUGCCAGCAGCCGC
rnacentral:rRNA from 1 species